AGUAAAGUGCCUGAAAAAGGGUUAUCGUGAUAGGAUAAAUUAUGUAAUAUUCACUUUUACCUUUGCUA
rnacentral:tRNA from 1 species